rnacentral:rRNA from 1 species
UACGUAGGGGGCAAGCGUUGUCCGGAAUCAUUGGGCGUAAAGCGCGUGUAGGCGGCUCGAUAAGUCUGCUGUGAAAGUCCAGGGCUCAACCCUGGGAUGCCGGUGGAUACUGUCGAGCUCGAGUCCGGAAGAGGCGAGUGGAAUUCCUGGUGUAGCGGUGAAAUGCGUAGAGAUCAGGAGGAACACCCGUGGCGAAGGCGGCGCCCUGGUCCGUUACUGACGCUGAGACGCGAAAGCGCGGGGAGCGAACGGG